CCUACGGGAGGCAGCAGUGGGGAAUAUUGCACAAUGGGCGGAACCCUGAUGCAGCGACGCCGCGUGAGUGAAGAAGUACUUCGGUAUGUAAAGCUCUAUCAGCAGGGAAGAAAAUGACGGUACCUGACUAAGAAGCCCCGGCUAACUACGUGCCAGCAGCCGCGGUAAUACGUAGGGGGCAAGCGUUAUCCGGAUGUACUGGGUGUAAAGGGAGCGCAGACGGCUGUGCAAGUCUGGAGUGAAAGGCGGGGGCCCAACCCCCGGACUGCUCUGGAAACUGUAAAGCUGGAGUGCAGGAGAGGUAAGCGGAAUUCCUAGUGUAGCGGUGAAAGGCGUAGAGAUUAGGAGGAACACCAGUGGCGAAGGCGGCUUACUGGACUGCAACUGACGUUGAGGCUCGAAAGCGUGGGGAGCAAACAGGAUUAGAUACCCCAGUAGUC
rnacentral:rRNA from 1 species